CCUACGGGUGGCAGCAGUGGGGGAUAUUGCACAAUGGGGGCAACCCUGAUGCAGCGACGCCGCGUGGGUGAAGAAGCGCCUCGGCGCGUAAAGCCCUGUCAGCAGGGAAGAAAAUGACGGUACCUGAAGAAGAAGCCCCGGCUAGCUACGUGCCAGCAGCCGCGGUAAUACGUAGGGGGCAAGCGUUAUCCGGAUUUACUGGGUGUAAAGGGGGCGCAGACGGCGAUGCAAGCCAGGAGUGAAAGCCCGGGGCCCAACCCCGGGACUGCUCUUGGAACUGCGUGGUUAGAGUGCAGGUGGGGCAGGCGGAAUGCGUGGUGUAGCGGUGAAAUGCGUAGAUAUGAGGAGGAACGCCGGUGGGGAAGGGGGCCUGCGAGACU
rnacentral:rRNA from 1 species